GCUGGACGUAUCAGAAGUGCGAAUGCUGACAUAAGUAACGAUAAAACGGGUGAAAAACCCGUUCGCCGGAAGACCAAGGGUUCCUGUCCAACGUUAAUCGGGGCAGGGUGAGUCGGCCCCUAAGGCGAGGCUGAAAAGCGUAGUCGAUGGGAAACGGGUUAAUAUUCCCGUACUUGGAUAAACUGCGAUGUGGGGACGGAGCAGGUUAGGUUAUCGCACUGUUGGAUAUGUGCGUUUAAGUUGGUAGGUGAGAAGUUUAGGCAAAUCCGGACUUCUAUAACACCGAGAGAUGAUGACGAGGCUCUACGGAGCUGAAGUAACCGAUACCACACUUCCAGGAAAAGCCACUAAGCUUCAGGUUUAUCUAAACCGUACUGAAAACCGACACAGGUGGUCAGGUAGAGAAUACUCAGGCGCUUGAGAGAACUCGGGUGAAGGAACUAGGCAAAAUAGCACCGUAACUUCGGGAGAAGGUGCGCCGGCGUAGAUUGUAGUCCCUUGCGGGCGAAGGUUGAACCGGUCGAAGAUACCAGCUGGCUGCAACUGUUUAUUAAAAACACAGCACUCUGCAAACACGAAAGUGGACGUAUAGGGUGUGAUGCCUGCCCGGUGCUGGAAGGUUAAUUGAUGGUGUAAUCGAAAGAGAAGCUCCUGAUCGAAGCCCCAGUAAACGGCGGCCGUAACUAUAACGGUCCUAAGGUAGCGAAAUUCCUUGUCGGGUAAGUUCCGACCUGCACGAAUGGCAUAAUGAUGGCCAGGCUGUCUCCACCCGAGACUCAGUGAAAUUGAAAUCGCCGUGAAGAUGCGGUGUACCCGCGGCUAGACGGAAAGACCCCGUGAACCUUUACUAUAGCUUGACACUGAACAUUGAAUUUUGAUGUGUAGGAUAGGUGGGAGACUUAGAAGUAGUCACGCCAGUGAUUAUGGAGUCGACCUUGAAAUACCACCCUUUAACGUUUGAUGUUCUAACGAAGAUUACGAAACGUGGUCUCGGACAGUGUCUGGUGGGUAGUUUGACUGGGGCGGUCUCCUCCCAAAGAGUAACGGAGGAGCACGAAGGUUUGCUAAUGACGGUCGGACAUCGUCAGGUUAGUGCAAUGGUAUAAGCAAGCUUAACUGCGAGACAGACAAGUCGAGCAGGUACGAAAGUAGGUCAUAGUGAUCCGGUGGUUCUGAAUGGAAGGGCCAUCGCUCAACGGAUAAAAGGUACUCCGGGGAUAACAGGCUGAUACCGCCCAAGAGUUCAUAU
rnacentral:rRNA from 1 species